rnacentral:rRNA from 1 species
AACGAACGCUGGCGGCAUGCCUAACACAUGCAAGUCGAACGAAGCCUUCGGGCUUAGUGGCGCACGGGUGCGUAACGCGUGGGAAUCUGCCCUUGGGUUCGGAAUAACAGUUAGAAAUGACUGCUAAUACCGAAUGAUGUCUUCGGACCAAAGAUUUAUCGCCCAAGGAUGAGCCCGCGUCGGAUUAGCUAGUUGGUGAGGUAAAGGCUCACCAAGGCGACGAUCCGUAGCUGGUCUGAGAGGAUGAUCAGCCACACUGGGACUGAGACACGGCCCAGACUCCUACGGGAGGCAGCAGUGGGGAAUAUUGGACAAUGGGCGAAAGCCUGAUCCAGCAAUGCCGCGUGAGUGAUGAAGGCCUUAGGGUUGUAAAAGCUCUUUUACCCGGGAUGAUAAUGACAGUACCGGGAGAAUAAGCCCCGGCUAAACUCCGUGCCAGCAGCCGCGGUAAU